GCCAGCAGCCAUAUCACCCUGCAACUCACAACUGGCAACCCACUGAAGCUAAGCAGGUGUGAGCCUGGUCAGUACCUGGAUGGGAAAUCUCCUGGGAAAAAAAACUAAGGUUGCUGCUGGAA
rfam:Lepisosteus oculatus linkage group LG17, whole genome shotgun sequence.